rfam:Salmo salar isolate Sally breed double haploid chromosome ssa01, whole genome shotgun sequence.
UGCAUACAUGACUGUAAGUCACUUUGGAUAAAAGCAUCUGCUCAAUGGCUUAUA